AAACACCCGGUCCCAUCUCGAACCCGGCAGUAAAGUCCGCUCACGUACCUGUCUGUACUGUGCUACGCAAGUGCACGGGAACACAGGCACGCUGUCAACC
rnacentral:rRNA from 1 species